AGCUGCACGUAAGCCUGAAGAACAACACCUCACAGAUGAUGACAGAUUCCCGGAAGAAAGUGGCCAAAAAGAAGGUGAAGCAGCAAAGUCGGAGGAGAUACAACAAGAUGUACAAGUGAGCCUCCAAGACAGUAACGAAAGCCAAGCUGAGAAAGGAUGCCACAAGAAAGAGGGAAAUUUAUUCCACACAUGGACGAAAAAAAUUAGAGGGAACAUUGAUCGGGUCAGAUCGGGCCAGACACACAAGACAGGUGCUCCUCCACCUCUCUUCAGAACACACUGGGGUUAGACAGACAGGCACUCAGUCCCUCACCCUUCCCUGUUGGCUUGAAGCUUCC